rnacentral:rRNA from 1 species
AGUUUGAUCAUGGCUCAGAAUGAACGCUGGCGGCGUGCUUAACACAUGCAAGUCGCACGAGAACUCUUUAGCUUGCUAAAGAUAGUAAAGUGGCGCACGGGUGAGUAACGCGUGGGUAAUCUACCUCUGAAUCGGGGAUAACAUUGUGAAAGCGAUGCUAAUACCGGAUAAUAUCUCAAAACCAUAAGGUUUUGAGAUCAAAAGUGGCCUCUACAUGUAAGCUACUGUUUGGAGAUGAGCCUGCGUACCAUUAGCUUGUUGGUAGGGUAAUGGCCUACCAAGGCAACGAUGGUUAGCUGGUCUGAGAGGAUGAUCAGCCACACUGGAACUGACACACGGUCCAGACUCCUACGGGAGGCAGCAGUGAGGAAUUUUGCGCAAUGGGGGAAACCCUGACGCAGCAACACCGCGUGAGUGAUGAAGGCCCUCGGGUCGUAAAGCUCUGUCAAGUGGGAAGAAAAUGUAAAAUGUUAAUACCAUUUUUCACUGACGGUACCACUGAAGGAAGCACCGGCUAACUCCGUGCCAGCAGCCGCGGUAAUACGGAGGGUGCAAGCGUUAUUCGGAAUUAUUGGGCGUAAAGGGCGCGUAGGCGGCCUUUUAAGUCAGAUGUGAAAGCCCGGGGCUUAACCCCGGAAGUGCAUUUGAAACUAAAGGGCUUGAGUAUGGGAGAGGGAAGUGGAAUUCCUGGUGUAGCGGUGAAAUGCGUAGAUAUCAGGAGGAACACCGGUGGCGAAGGCGACUUCCUGGACCAAUACUGACGCUAAGGCGCGAAGGCGUGGGUAGCAAACAGGAUUAGAUACCCUGGUAGUCCACGCAGUAAACGGUGAACACUAGGUGUAGCGGGUAUUGACCCCUGCUGUGCCGCAGCUAACGCAUUAAGGUCCGCCUGUAGAGGCGCAAG